GAGGAAGGUAAGGUGUAGUUAAUUAGAUCGCAUUAUUUGACGUUAGCGACAGAAGAAAGCACCGGCUAACUCCGUGCCAGCAGCCGCGGUAAUACGGAGGGUGCGAGCGUUAAUCGGAAUUACUGGGCGUAAAGCGCAUGCAGGUGGUUUGUUAAGUCAGAUGUGAAAGACCCGGGGCUCAACCUCGGAAUAGCAUUUGAAACUAGGCAGACUAGAGUACUGUAGACGGGGGGUAGGAAUUUCAGGUGUAGCGGUGAAAUGCGUAGAGAUCUGAAGGAAUACCGGUGGCGAAGGCGGCCCCCUCGGACAGAUACUGACACUCAGAUGCGAAAGCGUGGGGAGCAAACAGGAUUAGAUACCCUGGUAG
rnacentral:rRNA from 1 species